rnacentral:rRNA from 1 species
GCUAAUAAUCUAGCCCCCUAACAUCAAAUGAAACCAUUGACUUUAUAAUAUAAACUAAAACAUUUUAUAAACUUAGUAAAGGCGAUUAAAAAAUUGAUAGGAGCAAUAAAAAAGGUACCGCAAGGGAAAGAUGAAAUAAAAAUGAAACAAAUGUAAAGCACAGGACAGUAGAGACUAACUCUCGUACCUUUUGCAUCAUGGUUUAACUAGUCCAAUCAAGCACAACGACUUAAAGUUUGACCUCCCGAAACUAAGUGAGCUACUUCAAGGCAGCUUAUUGAGCGAACCCGUCUCUGUUGCAAAAGAGUGGGAAGACCUUCAAGUAGAGGUGACAGACCUAACGAACUUAGUGAUAGCUGGUUGCUCAAGAAAAGGACUUUAGCCCAGCCUAAAGUUUUCCCCAGUUUCUUAAAACACAAUUUUGACUUUAGAGUAAUUCAAAUAAGGUACAGCCUAUUUGAAAAAGGAUACAACCUAAGCUAACGGGUAAUAUCUUAAUUUUAUAACCAAGUGGGCCUAAAAGCAGCCACCUUUAAAAUAGCGUCAAAGCUUUAUUAUAUAUGGUUUUUAAUUUCUUUUAAUUCACCAAACCCUUUAAUCUUAUUGAGCAAUUCUAUAUUAUUAUAGAACAUAUAAUGUUAAAACUAGUAACAAGAAGAAGACCUUCUCUUAAAUGCAAGUGUAAAUCAACAAGGACCAACCGCUGGUAAUUAACACCCAUGAAAACAUAUUAGCAACCCCACAAGAAAACUCUAAUAAACUAUGUGUUAAUCUAACACAAGAGCAUUACAAGAAAGAUUAAAAGAAAAAGAAGGAACUCGGCAAAUAUUAACCUCGCCUGUUUACCAAAAACAUCGCCUCUUGAAUAUCUAUAAGAGGUCCAGCCUGCCCAGUGACUCUGUUCAACGGCCGCGGUAUCCUAACCGUGCGAAGGUAGCGUAAUCACUUGUUCUUUAAAUGAGGACUUGUAUGAACGGCACCACGAGGGUUAUACUGUCUCCUCUCUCUAAUCAGUGAAACUAAUCUCCCCGUGAAGAAGCGGGGAUAAGAAUAUAAGACGAGAAGACCCUAUGGAGCUUUAAACUUAAUGACAAGUACUGGCUACAUAUUAACUUUCAGAAAAUUAACUAUUACUUUAGUAUCAUGAUCAUUAGUUUUAGGUUGGGGUGACCACGGAGUAAAAAUUAACCUCCGUAUUGAAUGGGAUUAAUCCCUGAGCCAAGAGCCACGACUCCAAACACCAACAAAUUGACAUUAAUUGACCCAAUAUUUUGAUCAACGAACCAAGUUACCCUAGGGAUAACAGCGCAAUCCACUUCAAGAGCCCCUAUCGACAAGUGGGUUUACGACCUCGAUGUUGGAUCAGGGUAUCCCAGUGGUGCAGCCGCUACUAAAGGUUCGUUUGUUCAACGAUUAAAACCCUACGUGAUCUGAGUUCAGACCGGAGUAAUCCAGGUCAGUUUCUAUCUAUAACGGAAUUUUUUCUAGUACGAAAGGACCGAAAGAACAUGGCCUAUACUCUAUGCAAGCCAUAAUUAUUAACUUAUGACUAAAUCUUAAUAAGUACAUAACCCACCACCCACCUCAAGAAAAGAGCA